AUACGGAGGGUGCAAGCGUUAUUCGGAAUCACUGGGCGUAAAGGACGCGUAGGCGGGUUGGCAAGUCAGAUGUGAAAUCCUACAGCUUAACUGUAGAACUGCAUUUGAAACUGCUAACCUAGAGUAUGGGAGGGGGAAAUGGAAUUAGUGGUGUAGGGGUAAAAUCCGUAGAUAUCACUAGGAAUACCGAAAGCGAAGGCGAUCUCCUGGAACAUAACUGACGCUAAGGCGUGAAAGCGUGGGGAGCAAACAGGAUUAGAAACCCUAGUAGUCC
rnacentral:rRNA from 1 species